rnacentral:rRNA from 1 species
GAUGAACGCUGGCGGCGUGCCUAACACAUGCAAGUCGAGCGAACCCUUCGGGGUGAGCGGCGGACGGGUGAGUAACGCGUGGGUAACCUGCCCUAUACACACGCAUAACGUGCCGAAAGGUACGCUAAUACGAGAUAAAGUUGUUGGACGGCAGCUUCUGACAAUCAAAGCUCCGGCGGUAUAGGAUGGGCCCGCGUUUGAUUAGCUAGUUGGUGAGGUAAUGGCUCACCAAGGCGACGAUCAGUAGCCGACCUGAGAGGGUGAUCGGCCACACUGGAACUGAGACACGGUCCAGACUCCUACGGGAGGCAGCAGUGGGGAAUAUUGCACAAUGGGCGAAAGCCUGAUGCAGCAACGCCGCGUGAGCGAUGAAGGUCUUCGGAUCGUAAAGCUCUGUUCUCAAGGAAGAUAAUGACGGUACUUGAGGAGGAAGCCCCGGCUAACUACGUGCCAGCAGCCGCCGUAA